rnacentral:rRNA from 1 species
CCUACGGGUGGCAGCAGUGGGGAAUAUUGGGCAAUGGGCGCAAGCCUGACCCAGCAACGCCGCGUGAAGGAAGAAGGCCUUCGGGUUGUAAACUUCUUUUUUUGGGGACGAAGAAAGUGACGGUACCCAAGGUAUAAGCCACGGCUAACUACGUGCCAGCAGCCGCGGCAAUACGUAGGUGGCAAGCGUUAUCCGGAUUUAUUGGGGGUAAAGGGCGUGUAGGCGGGAUUGCAAGUCAGAUGUGAAAACCACGGGCUCAACCUGUGGCCUGCAUUUGAAACUGGAGUUCUUGAGUGCUGGAGAGGCAAUCGGAAUGCCGGGUGUAGCGGUGAAAUGCGUAGAUAUACGGAGGAACACCAGUGGCGAAGGCGGAUUGCUGGACAGUAACUGACGCUGAGGCGCGAAAGCGUGGGGAGCAAACAGGAUUAGAUACCCUGGUAGUC